rnacentral:rRNA from 1 species
AGACCCGAAACCCGGUGAUCUAGCCAUGGGCAGGUUGAAGGUUGGGUAACACUAACUGGAGGACCGAACCGACUAAUGUUGAAAAAUUAGCGGAUGACCUGUGGCUGGGGGUGAAAGGCCAAUCAAACCGGGAGAUAGCUGGUUCUCCCCGAAAGCUAUUUAGGUAGCGCCUCGUGAAUUCAUCUCCGGGGGUAGAGCACUGUUUCGGCUAGGGGGCCAUCCCGGCUUACCAACCCGAUGCAAACUGCGAAUACCGGAGAAUGUUAUCACGGGAGACACACGGCGGGUGCUAACGUCCGUCGUGAAGAGGGAAACAACCCAGACCGCCAGCUAAGGUCCCAAAGUCAUGGUUAAGUGGGAAACGAUGUGGGAAGGCCCAGACAGCCAGGAUGUUGGCUUAGAAGCAGCCAUCAUUUAAAGAAAGCGUAAUAGCUCACUGGUCGAGUCGGCCUGCGCGGAAGAUGUAACGGGGCUAAACCAUGCACCGAAGCUGCGGCAGCGAACGUAUCACCCAAGACAACUUUGCGGAGUUGACGAUUGACGGAGCGAAGCGACGUCAAAGCGUUCAUUAAAGUCGAGUUGGCUUAGGGAUACGUUCGUUGGGUAGGGGAGCGUUCUGUAAGCCAGUGAAGGUGUGUCGUGAGGCAU